GAUGAACGCUGGCGGCGUGCCUAAUACAUGCAAGUCGAGCGAACAGACGAGGAGCUUGCUCCUCUGACGUUAGCGGCGGACGGGUGAGUAACACGUGGAUAACCUACCUAUAAGACUGGGAUAACUUCGGGAAACCGGAGCUAAUACCGGAUAAUAUAUUGAACCGCAUGGUUCAAUAGUGAAAGACGGUUUUGCUGUCACUUAUAGAUGGAUCCGCGCCGCAUUAGCUAGUUGGUAAGGUAACGGCUUACCAAGGCAACGAUGCGUAGCCGACCUGAGAGGAGGGUCGGCCACACAGGAACUGAGACAGGAUCCAGCCCCCUGGGGGGGGCGGCAGAGGGGAUUCUUCCGCAGAGGGCAAAGGUCUAACGGGCAAGCCCGGGGGGGGGAAUAAAGUUCUUGGGAUCGAAAAACUCUUUUAUUGGGGAAAAACAAAUGUGAAAGUAACUAUGCCCUUCUGAAGGGCACCUAAUAAGAAACCCAGGGCUAACCACGGC
rnacentral:rRNA from 1 species